AAUGUCACAACGUUAAUGACCAUCAUCCUUGUUUAUUGAACUGCUUGGCUGCUUACGACACCUAAGUGCUGUGUGAAUCUGUCAUUCUGCUGUCUAUUUGCGUAAUGUCUGAAACGCUAAACAACACGAUGAAAUGCUACGUUUAAUCAGGAUCUUUCACACAAUGUAUCAAAGUAAAAGGAGCAACAGAGGAAAACAACGGAUAAAUCGUGAACUAAAUUUUGGAAUUUCUAAGCAAGCUGAGCUGACACAUAUUGAAAUAGCAGAGGUGAAAAGUGACGACAUGUUUCCAACCCAAGCGAAAGGAAAACCGAUAAGUGGCAGCAGCACCAAGGUUCAAACCACUACUAGGAGGAACACUGGAGUGACACUGCUUGGGUGUCCCAGUGAGAGCCGUCAUCUCACCUCCAGCCCGCCCAUCAGCUCAGUGUCACCCUGGCCUGCUGUCUGUCUCUCUACCGUCAAUGACACACUGACACACCAGACAUAUCUCCGCCGCCCCAGACGUGCUUGGCAGACAAAGACACCCUGACCCCAGGUCAGCCAGACCUCAGCCUCCAGCACAGACAGGAGAAGAUGACGGAUGACAAUGCACUCUUUAUUAGUCACCAUCAACCUUGUACUCUGUUGACCGACUGCCUGCCCACCACAACGAGUCUACCUACGAGCAAAUAUUAGGGUUUAAAGUGACCAUACUGUGUGUUACAUUACAGUUCACAGAUGCCUGGUAUAAUUUCCACUUUGGGUGAGUGAACCCUGUCAAUUGACGAGUGUGAAAUCUCUAGCGAUGUAUGUAAGGGUGUGUAGCUGAGGCAUACAUACCUGUGUGCUGCUAUCUCUGUGGCCUUGGUCCUCGGUGGCUCCUAUGUUGCUGUCUGUGCUGGCCUCGGCCCCGCGUCUGGCUGCCGGCUGGCUGGGAUGAUGCUGGCAGCGCUGAGUGGUGAGAUCUGGGUAGGGGGUGGGCAGUGGUCAUGUGGGGUGGGGUGGGGUGGGGUGAGGUGGGUGGCUCCUCAACACUGCUACCAUGACCGCUCUCUGUAUGAGCCCUAAUGUCUGAAGGGGGUUCCCGGUGCAAAGCUCCCUUUUGAAGCACAGCUGGCUUAGGAAGCAAAGUCUUUUCUUUUACCUUAUAUGAGCCGAGGGGCCGGCCCAACGCGAGAGCGGCAUGUGAGGGAAAGCCCCCCCGAGCUCUGUGAUUGGCUAGCAUGAGGGCCCCCGUGACCUCAGCCUGUGACCUGCAG